AGGGAUCUGUGCCCGGAUGCAUGCCAGUGGCCCCUAGCUGUUCCCCUUCUCUCGUCACUGGCCCUAGAUUAAAGGAGCACUCACUGCAGGUUUAUUUAGGGGCAGCUAAGGGAUAUAUGAGGAAUGGAUUAGCGGCUUCCACCCUUCGGUCCUACGAUUUCGCUUGGAGAUCAUACGCUAUGUUUUGCUCUUCUCUCUCUGUUCCCCUGUUUCCUUUGUGUGUUAAUGUUGUAUGUGCUUUUGUUUGUCACUGCACGGAUGUUCGCCAUUUCCAGACGUGCUAUAUUAAAGGUCUGGUCGCGGGCAUCCAAUUCAAUGCCAGAUGCCUGGAUCCUUCGUUUCCCAGCCUUUUGUCCAAUCCUGCUAUCAAAUUGCUGUUCAAAGGAAUAGGCAAAGCGUUUCCCCCUAAAGUGGACGACAGACUCCCGUUCACUCUAUCCGUUCUGCAUGCCAUGCUUUCGGUGCUCAGACGUGGUUAUUUCUCCCGCUACAUUGACUCCCUUUUAGAUUGUUCAUUAUUACUGGCUUUCUACGGGUUUCUUCGGUGCGGGGAAUUCACCACUAGGGCAAAUGCGUUUAAUCCCACCUCAGACGUUUGCUUUUCCGAUUUGACGUUUCACCCUGAAUUUUUCAACCUUUUUCUUAGACACUCUAAAUCCGGAGGCUCUUGCUUCGUAGUCAUUGCUCGCACGGGGGGUCCUUUCUGUCCUUUCUCUUCCAUGCUUAGGUAUGUCAAGAUGAGGGCUUCCUCAGAUCCGCUCUCCCCUCUCUUCAUAACCCCUGCCAAUAAACCCAUGUCUCAGUCCUGGUUCAGUCACCACUUAGCGCAGGUAGUAUCCAAGUGUAACCUUCCCCCUGGACGGUAUUCAGGCCAUUCGUUCAGGAUAGGUGCUGCCACGUCCGCUGCAGUCCAAGGGUUGUCCACUGCGACUUUGCAACAGCUGGGGCGUUGGUCUUCCUCCGCAUAUUCUUCCUCCGUCCGUCCGGAUGCUGCUUCCAUCAUCAAGGCCCAAAGAUCCCUACGGCCUUGAUGGCUCUCGGUGAGUAUUUGCAAAUAACUGGUGGUCGGUGGUGUUUCGUUCUCGCAUCAACUGUGUGUUCUACGAGGCUUCUCCCCGGGGUGUCGGCCCGCUAGCCUCUCAGGCUCCCUACGCACACAAGGAUGUCGGUCCUCCAGCCGUCACAGGCUGUUCACAUAGACUCAAGGGCGUCGGCCCUCUAGCCUACAUAGGUCAUGUAUGCGGGGACGUCGGUCCUCCAGCCGUCACAGGCUGUUCUCAUACACUCUAGGGCGUUGGCCCUCUAGCCCACAUAGGUCAUGUAUGCGGGGACGUCGGUCCUCCAGCCAUUUGCACAGGCUGUCACAUAGACUCAAGGCCGUCGGCCCUCUAGCCUACAUAGGUCAUGUACGCGGGGACGUCGGUCCUCCAGCCAUCUGCACAGGCUGUCACAUAGACUCAAGGGCGCCGGCCCUUUAGCCGCCAAAGCCGCUAAAGGCCAUCACCUGCA